CACACACACACACACACACACACACACACACACACAGUGAGCAGAAAUAAAGGGUGGGCAUAUUUCUGCUCAUUCUUCACUGUGUGUCAGUGGACUUCGCCCUCAGGCUUCUCUGUCUGAGCCGCUCAGAAAAACAAGUCUGAAACACGAAGGAAGGAAAUAAAAACCUGACCGGGCCAUUGGCCAUACCUGAGCAAGACUCAUUAAUGUUUAAACUUAUGGCUGAAGGAUUCCACGCUCCUUUCUGGGUUGAUAAAAAUCUACCACCCUUGCUGAUGAAACCUUAACAAAACCAACACUUUAAGAAGGAUAAAUGGUGCAUGACGACAGGAACCCGGCUGAAACAUUAUCAUCCAUUUGCAUGGCCUCUUAGCUUCUUGAUGAGCGUUAUGGAGAUGAGCUCAGAGUUGGAGUUGUUUUGAUGAGAAGGGAUUUGCCAUCUCAGCUGCAUCGCCCCUGUUCAUGUUGUAAGUUUGACAUGUGUCUGAGCAGUGGAAUGUGUUAUAAAAGAUAAAUCUAUAACAGUACAACUCUUUCUGAGAUGAAGAUGUCAGAAGUCAACUGAGGAGUGAGCAGUGAUUUCCAAGAGAGCUGACAUUGCUGUUUUAUCAUCACACUGAUCCAAAUAUUCGACGCCUUUGUUGUAAGCAUCAUCUCGCAUUCAGACUCAUUUCAAACUUUCAGUGAGCAACGAGAAACGCAAGACCAUGUGAGGAAAACCUGCAGCCUGGUUUUUGUGUUUAAGAGUGUUUAAGAAACAGUACAUUGCCAACGUCCUCUCUGGAAAAUGAGACAAGGCAAUGAAAAAGAGAAUCAAUUCUAUGCUCCAGCUGGAAAGAAAGUUUGCGUCACCUUGAAAACUUGAAAUGGUAAUGAUGUGAGAUCCCAGCUCGGGGAACACACAGCACUUUUGAUUACUUUGAAAUCAGGUAAAAGGGUCAGUGUGUUCCAGAGUGAAUAAACAUGUUGGUCAUCUCGGGUCAGCAUCGCUGAGGCAGCUGGACUGAACUUUUUCUGACCAGCAUUUUCUCCUGUGAACUUACUCCAUUUGUAAAACCAUUUAGCCUUAAAGCUUAAUGCUUUUUAGUCAAAUAAAUAUAUUCAUGCACUUCUGUUUCUUUUGCAAUACAUCUUGGCUUGAACUAUUCAAAAGCUGAUAUUUUCCUUUUGGAUUCCUAGGCUUUAAGCGUAUUAUACAGUUUGAAUGACAAAUUAUACAUUUGAGUUUGUACCACAAAAAUGUGGAGCAAUAAUAUCCUCCUUCCUAUCAUUUGUCUCCCAAAGGACUUUGGCUUUUUGCUUCACAACUGGGGAUGCUUUCAGUUCCCUGUUCAUGAAAGAUGCUUGUCCUGAUCUCAAUUACCGUCCAGAUUUAUGGCAGUUUCCAUAGUCAUAUUGGCCCCCAUAACUCAGCAAAGAUAGCCUUACAGUAGUUAUUCCCAUCUGGAACGCAUCUAUCAGUUUGCAAGGUAAUGCAUAUAGAUUUCCCUUCAUAUUUUGCAGCAUUGUUUGUCCGUAACCUCAUUCUGAACUUUGCAUUUUGUUAGGUAAUCGUAUGGAGGGGCUGCCCUAAUUCGGCAGGAGGAUACUUGCAUGAUGGUUUGUUUUCUGUGGAUCAUGUAGCAACACAGUGGUGAAACAUCCUGGGAGAAAAUGACGGAUGGAACCAAGACCCAUGAUUCAUCUUGGCAGAAAAAAACAACAUUUAGAAUUGUAAGUAAAUUAAAAAGAAAAGUUAGGGAUAAUCUUAAAAAGCUUUGUUGGUAAGUGGCAACUGCUUUGGCGUGUAGCACAAUACCUGGAUUUGCUAAGAUCUGAAGCUAACCAAUCUCUUAUCAAACCUUUUACCUAUCAGCACACUUUUUUAUUAGCGCGUAUAAAACAUUUAGGUGGCGGUCUUAUCAUUUUUAGCUAGCUCUAAGCAUCACUUUCACUGGUUCAAAUGACAUCUGUAGCAGAUUCUGCUACAGGUGAAUCUUGUAGCAAACCUGACCACCAUAAAAAACUCAUGCAAAGCAGCGAAAGCUACUUGGCUUAUGUUUUUUUAUGGAUGGAGAAGCUAGCUAGUGAGGAUUAAAACAAUGGGGAGUAGCAAAAUAAACAUUAUUACAUUAUAUUAUUAUAUUAAAAUGGUUCCAGAUAAAUAGCGUCAAAAAGAAAAGAUAUGUUUUGUUCUCUUUUCCUUCUACCUGUCUAUUUCAGGUGUGUUUUUGUGUGUUUGUGUCUGUGUGUGCAUGUACAUGGAAAAAUCACCCUGUGGAAACACUGUGGGGAAAAAAAUCUGCAUUGACUGGAAACACACUCAUUAAAGCUGUUUGUGUGUGUGUGUGUGUGUGUGUAUGUGUGAUGCCCCAGGGUUGUGCUCAGAUGGUGUUUGGUUACUAACCUCCACACACAUGCAUACUGCACACACACUGUGUCUGUCCCAUGAUGCACAUGUGUCCAUGCAGGCCUGAUCAGUACGAACUGCUCAUCCACAUGCUCCCUGGUCAAUAAUUACAGUACAUGAGUCAUGGUGAAAAGGUACAGUGCAGGUAAUAGUUACCUGGUCAGUAUUAGUAGUACUACGGGAACGGCUGCACAUGUAGAUGCAGCGGCUGGUAGUUAUUUUUUCCGGCUUUGCUGCUGAAACAUCAUUGAAUGAUGUCUGGUUGGAUUUGAUUUAAAGGGCUAAGCCCAAAUUGUUCAAAUCGACUGGAUCAGAAGAUUCUGACUGUGGCAACGGCUGCACGUGCAGAUGCUGCGGCCUGUAGCUCCUUCAAACUCCGCUAGCUACAUUCUUGUUUUUCAUCAGUUUUUUUUUUCUGGCUUUAUUGCUGAAACACGUAUUACCUGUAACAGAAAUACGUCAUCGUCGUCAUCGGAAAAGGAAGCCGGGGUUUGGAUUAAAGAGCAGCGGACCUUGGGCCAGAUCAACCGGACCAGGCACCACGGCGGCUGCUGUGAUCGCCCAGGAGGAGAGGGAAGACAGCCGGGAUAGGAGCCGUGCUGGCCCAGCUUGGACUUAAGGCUGCUCCUGGCUCAUGUCCGGUCCGGACGAAAAGGGACUCAAAGACUGUGCCCACAUCUCUGCAGAGACCUGCUCCACCAACAUCCCGAUCAAGCACUCGACGGGCGGACCGUGUCCGAGCUGACGGAGCCCAAAGCUCCGGCGGGAUGAGGGGAGGAGGACUCUGUGUUUACAUCAACAUGACAUGACAAACACAGUUUUCACAAAUGUUGAACUUUUUAUGCAAAGAUGGAAACCAUUAGGGAUGAGCGAAUACACCAUUAUCUGUAUCUGUAUCUGUUCAACCAGCUAAAUUAUCUGUAUUCGUAUCCGUACUCGGAAUGGGCGGGGCUUAAACCGGAUGUGGGUGGGACGAACCGGAAGUUGUUCACUUAAGCCUGAAAUUGAUACGGGUUGGUAUCAGAAGUUGCUAUAUUUAUUACAAAACUAUUUACAGAACAGCCUCAGAAUUGAGCUUCAGAGCAAUGUUUUUGAUCACAAGAGUAAGAGAA